AUCGAUACCAAUUCCCGUGUCCAGACGGAGAAGUGAGAACGAUGAAUCAGAUGAUAGCUCCGGGAAGAGAGGCAGGACCGAAGGUCGUUCGAUUGCUCUGCUUCGUCAGCGCUGGAUGUACGUGAAUGCUUUUGUGCACAGCUGCGAUUAACAAGUGGAGAGAGUUGGAGAGGAAGUCCACGAUUCAAAAGCAGCAAGAAGAAGGCCAGUUGUUGGAGAAGCCAUCGAAUGCGGUACAAAGAGCGCUGGAAUAAUCAUCAAUCUUGGGAGAAAAGGUUAAGAAUUCCAUGGUAAUAUAAAGAACUCGAAUCAUUAUAUUAUUUAGAGUUGUACUUAUGUUAUGCUUUCACUAUGAAUAUGAAUACAAUGCUGUUUUUUUUUGGAUGUUGAGAAGUUAUCUUCCUCUUUUAGAUUGCCUUUUUUGACUAUUUGACAUGUUCUAGGUCCAUUGCUUAGUAUCACUAGUAAUCUUAAUUGCUGUCUUUGAUGCACAUUUUCUGUUGUUGAAGUUCACUAUAGUUGAAAUUGCAGUUAUGUUUAUUCUUC